CAGUUUGCUGUUGACGAAUGAGAAACAGACCUGGCUUAGCGCAAGCGCAGUGAAGAAGGGCCUAGGCUUCGCGGACAAUCCCAACCGUCCUGACCGGCAUGCUGGCUUGAGGGAAGUGGAGGAUUGAUAGGACCAAGAUGAGUUUGUUUGGGUCAACAUCAGGAUUUGGAACUGGAGGCACCAGCAUGUUUGGCAGCACUGCUACAGAUAAUCACAACCCAAUGAAGGAUAUUGAAGUUACUUCCCCACCUGAUGACAGCAUAGGUUGUUUGGCUUUCAGCCCACCAACAUUGCCGGGUAAUUUCCUUAUUGCAGGAUCAUGGGCAAAUGAUGUUCGUUGUUGGGAAAUCCAAGAUAACGGGCAAACUAUUCCAAAAGCCCAACAGAUGCAUACAGGACCAGUACUAGAUGUUUGCUGGAGUGAUGACGGAAGUAAAGUGUUCACAGGGUCCUGUGAUAAAACUGCCAAAAUGUGGGAUCUUAACAGUAAUCAAGCAAUACAAAUCGCACAGCAUGAAGCUCCUGUAAAGACCGUCCAUUGGAUUAAAGCACCAAAUUAUAGUUGUGUGAUGACUGGAAGUUGGGAUAAAACAUUGAAGUUUUGGGAUACACGAACCCCCACUCCAAUGAUGACGCUGCAGUUGCCUGAACGAUGCUAUUGUGCCGAUGUGAUAUAUCCCAUGGCUGUUGUUGCUACUGCAGAAAGGGGCUUGAUAGUUUACCAGUUAGAGAAUCAGCCUUCUGAAUUUAGAAGGAUAGACUCUCCACUUAAACAUCAGCAUCGCUGUGUGGCUAUUUUCAAAGACAAAGUGAACAAACCAACAGGCUUUGCCCUUGGAAGCAUCGAAGGAAGAGUUGCCAUUCAUUAUAUUAACCCACCAAAUCCCGCCAAAGACAACUUUACCUUCAAAUGCCAUCGAUCCAAUGGUACAAACACAUCUGCGCCUCAGGAUAUCUAUGCAGUAAAUGGGAUUGCCUUCCAUCCUGCCCAUGGCACUCUUGCAACUGUGGGGUCUGAUGGCAGAUUCAGUUUCUGGGAUAAAGAUGCGCGGACAAAGCUAAAAACAUCUGAACAGCUAGACCAGCCAAUAUCUGCUUGCUGCUUCAACCAUAAUGGCAACAUAUUUGCAUAUGCUUCUAGUUAUGACUGGUCAAAGGGGCAUGAAUUCUAUAAUCCCCAAAAGAAAAACUAUAUCUUUCUGCGCAAUGCGGUCGAAGAACUAAAACCUAGAAAUAAAAAGUACUCAGGUUCAUGGAAAAGGUGCUGAAGCAUGUGCUUAGAGAUCAGUUAUUUGUGUGCAUCUCAGAAUAAUAGAUCUUCAAAAGACCCCAAAAUUUUAGUUUGCACCGCUUGCUGGUGCCACAAGAACUUCAACUGAGGAAGGAAUUUCUACCCGAAAUCUAACUAACUGUGCCUGUCAGUUGGGCUUCUUCCUUGUGCUUUUAAUGAGGCCAAAAUAAGAGAAAGAAAAAGAAAGAAAGAAAUUAUCAGUUGUCUUUUCCUUUCCCCUGUGUUUAAAAAUGUGUUGCUUUAUGGGAACUGCAUUCACUUUAAGUGUUCUACAGUGGCCAUUUGUUCCUGCCUGUACUUAAAGGCUGUGGGCCUAUAACCUGUGGCUUAAUUUCAAGUAAUCCUGCAUAGGAUUGCACUUUGUAUGACAACAGCACUGCCUCCCUCCUCCAACAGGACUUGGAACAGAAUUGUGGAAUAUUUAACAGUGAGAAAACAAACAGCAGCUUAAAAUAAUUUAAGAUCUCUCACAGUAUAUGAACAGUUAUAAAAAUCAUGAACAAAAUAUUUUCAGUUCUUUUCACUACGGUUGGGAUUCUUACAUUUUUGCCCCAACUUGGUUCUGCUGCCAUCUUUAUAAGUUUUUGAAAAAUUUACCCUGAUUUUUUUUUCCAGUAGAAAGUUAAGCAAGUGUCCUUAGCAACAAUCUGGUUGUUAUUAUUGAUUUUUUUCAGCACAAUGUUUUCAGUGGUGAUUUUAAGAAAUCAGUUUUCACAUUGAUGGUCCAGUAAACUCCAUUCAGGAAAUCUAUCGAAAAGUCAACUAUUAUUUAUGUGUUGGCAUUGAACUUCAUUUAUUUUCUAAGAACAGACUUCAUAGCCUGGUUGAAUUAACCCUUAAACUUCAGGCCCCAGGUUUUCUCAAGAUGCUUCUUUUCAACAGUAAUGAUGCUACUGAAUAAAGCAGCAUUUUUUCUAUGUGAGUUAUGUACCUGCUGGAAUUUGAACUGUUUACUAAGAGGCUCAUGAAGCUGUCUAACAAUUUGCAGAUGGUUCAUGAUUUAAAAUAAAAGUUGGGUAUCUUG